UGGUUAAUUCGACGCAACGCGAAGAACCUUACAGGGCUUGACAUCCCCUGACCGCGUAUGAAAGUACGUUUUCACCCUCGGGUGACAGGGAGACAGGUGGUGCAUGGUUGUCGUCAGCUCGUGUCGUGAGAUGUUGGGUUAAGUCCCGCAACGAGCGCAACCCCUACGUUAGUUGCUAACGCGUGAAGGCGAGCACUCUAGACGAACUGCCGUUGACAAAACGGAGGAAGGUGGGAUGACGUCAAAUCAUCAUGCCCCUUAUGUUCUGGGCUACACACGUGCUACAAUGGCCGGUACAGACGGACGCAAAGCCGCGAGGUGGAGCAAAUCCUAAAAAGCCGGUCUCAGUUCGGAUUGCAGGCUGCAAUUCGCCUGCAUGAAGUCGGAAUCGCUAGUAAUCGCAGGUCAGCAUACUGCGGUGAAUACGUUCCCGGGCCUU
rnacentral:rRNA from 1 species